GCGGCAACAGCUCAAAUUUGAAAUCUGGCCCUUUCAGGGUCCGAGUUGUAAUUUGUAGAGGAUGCUUUUGGGCAGCCACCGGUCUAAGUUCCUUGGAACAGGACGUCAUAGAGGGUGAGAAUCCCGUAUGUGACUGGACAGGCACCCUUUGUAAAGCUCCUUCGACGAGUCGAGUUGUUUGGGAAUGCAGCUCUAAAUGGGAGGUAAAUUUCUUCUAAAGCUAAAUACCGGCCAGAGACCGAUAGCGCACAAGUAGAGUGAUCGAAAGAUGAAAAGCACUUUGGAAAGAGAGUUAAAAAGCACGUGAAAUUGUUGAAAGGGAAGGGCUUGCAAUUAGACUUGCCCGCAGUUGUUCAGCUGGUCUUCUGACCGGUUUAUUCUUCUGCGGGCAGGCCAGCAUCAGUUUCGGCGGCCGGAUAAAGGCUCUGGGAAUGUGGCUGCCCUUCGGGGCAGUGUUAUAGCCCAGGGUGUAAUACGGCCAGCCGGGACUGAGGUCCGCGCUUCGGCUAGGAUGCUGGCGUAAUGAUUGUAAGCCGCCCGUCUUGAAACACGGACCAAGGAGUCUAACAUCUAUGCGAGUGUUAGGGUGUCAAACCCUUACGCGUAAUGAAAGUGAACGGAGGUGGGAACCCGCAAGGGUGCACCAUCGACCGAUCCUGAUGUCUUCGGAUGGAUUUGAGUAAGAGCAUAGCUGUUGGG
rnacentral:rRNA from 1 species